CUCUGUGACUCCUACGGGGAGGCAGCAGUGGGGAAUAUUGCACAAUGGGGGAAACCCUGAUGCAGCCAUGCCGCGUGUGUGAAGAAGGCCUUCGGGUUGUAAAGCACUUUCAGUAGGGAGGAAGGUAGUGUAGUUAACACCUGCACUAUUUGACGUUACCUACAGAAGAAGCACCGGCUAACUCCGUGCCAGCAGCCGCGGUAAUACGGAGGGUGCGAGCGUUAAUCGGAAUUACUGGGCGUAAAGCGCAUGCAGGCGGCCUGUUAAGUCAGAUGUGAAAGCCCGGGGCUUAACCUCGGAAUUGCAUUUGAAACUGGCAGGCUAGAGUCUUGUAGAGGGGGGUAGGAAUUUCAGGUGUAGCGGUGAAAUGCGUAGAGAUCUGAAGGAAUACCAGUGGCGAAGGCGGCCCCCUGGACAAAGACUGACGCUCAGAUGCGAAAGCGUGGGGAGCAAACAGGAUUAGAUACCCUUGGAG
rnacentral:rRNA from 1 species